rnacentral:rRNA from 1 species
GAUCCUGGCUCAGAAUCAACGCUGGCGGCGUGCCUAACACAUGCAAGUCGCACGAGAAAGGGUAGCAAUACCUGAGUAAAGUGGCGCACGGGUGAGUAACACGUGAAUUAUCUACCUCCGAGUGGGGAAUAACUGAGAGAAAUCUUAGCUAAUACCGCAUAACACUUACGAGUCAAAGCAGUAAUGCGCUUGGAGAGGAGUUCGCGGCAGAUUAGUUAGUUGGCGGGGUAAUGGCCCACCAGGACGAUGAUCUGUAUCCGGCCUGAGAGGGCGCACGGACACACUGGAACUGAAACACGGUCCAGACUCCUACGGGAGGCAGCAGUGGGGAAUUUUGCGCAAUGGGGGAAACCCUGACGCAGCAACGCCGCGUGGAGGAUGAAAUCCCUUGGGAUGUAAACUCCUUUCGAUAGGGAAGAUUAUGACGGUACCUAUAGAAGAAGCCCCGGCUAACUUCGUGCCAGCAGCCGCGGUAAUACGAGGGGGGCAAGCGUUGUUCGGAUUUAUUGGGCGUAAAGGGUGCGUAGGCGGUUUGGCAAGUCUUGUGUGAAAUCUUUGGGCUCAACCCAAAGCCUGCACAAGAAACUGCCGGGCUUGAGUAUGGGAGAGGUGAGUGGAAUUUCCGGUGUAGCGGUGAAAUGCGUAGAUACCGGAAGGAACACCUGUGGCGAAAGCGGCUCACUGGACCAU